rnacentral:lncRNA from 1 species
GUGAGCCUUUUUUUUUUUUUUUCAAAAUUGUAGUUUAGCCCUUGAUGAAAAGGAGGAGCCCCUUCACUGCCUGAGAAAGAAGCUGAUGAUAGGAUCAGCCUCUCCUAGGGGUGUGAUAGCUCUUGCCUGUCACGGAUGAGAUGGACGUGUGCUCCCUGCAGGCCCGUGCAGCUGGGGCCUGUGGCGCCCCCAGGAUGCUGGCUCCAUGUUCGGCUUUCCCAGGAGACGGUGCUGGAGGAGCAGCACAGGACGAGGAAGGGCUUCUCUUGCAGGCUCCUCAGUGAGGUGUCCCGCAGCAUCCAGCCUCCUGCAGCAGCCCAGAGAGUGGCCUGCCAGAGAGUUCCACCCACACCGGCACUUCAGCAAACUUUCCUGCAGCCAGGGCGCCUCGGCUGUACCAUCUCUAACAAGAUCUGGUCAUACAGAGUGGAGGGGUUGCCUCAGCCCAGGAAGGAAGCAGAAGACCCAGGCAGAUGCAAGCAGGAAAGAAGGCUGAGCUCAGUGGCACAUGCCUGUAAUCCCAGCACUUUGGGAGGCUGAGGCAGGAGGAUCGCUUGAACCCAAGAGUUUGAGGCUGCUGUGAGCUGUGAUCACACCACUGCAUUCCAACCUGGGCAACAGAAGGAGACCCUUUCUAAAAAAUAAAAUAAAAUAAAAUAAAAUAAAA